UUCCCUAUGCCACAGGUGUGGCCCUAAAAAGAGUAAAAAAAGAAAAAGAGAAAGAAAAAAAAAAAAAGAAAACAACUCUAGUGGCCAGACACUAAGCAGCUGCAGUGUGGCCUUCCUAGUUAGCUGUCAAUUAGAUGCCAUUUACUUGUGCUAAACUCUCCCCUCAAGACUGAAUGAUGGUUUAAUAGGGUGCUGGGUAGGAUUUGACCUUAUUGCCCUGGAAAAGAGGACACGCAUCUAACUCUGUACCUCUCUGAGCCAAGAAAUUACUGUUGGGACAGUAAUUACUGUCUUGACCCUUCUGUCUUCCCACUGUUUGGUAGGGCAAGAAUAUAUGGUUUCUUAGGGCCUAAGUGGAGACUCACAAGUUAGAAGGACUGGAACCCCAGUGAGGAAGGCCACCCGCCGGGCAAGGGGACCUCUGAGGAAGAGGUUGUAGGGUAACCACAGGGACUGGAGCAGGACUCAGAAGAGGUCAAGGAAAGUGUUCUCCGCUGAUGAAGAGCUGUGACAUAGGGAGGUCUUCCCGUUCCUGGGGGAAUCCUGAAGGAUGCAUGCACAUCCCCAGGGGGAACCCACUGGCCACAGAGAGCCUCACAUCCAGACAGACCCAGGCUGAAAAGCCCCAGCAGAGAAGAGGAUAGCAGCAGUGCCUUCCAUGUAAGGGGCCAGGGUCUCAUUCCUUCCUCCUCAGCCCAGGACACCCAGCCCUGGGGAGGGGAAGAAAUGUGUGUCAGGUUGACUCUAAGCAGCACUGAUUUUCUCUUAUAUCCCAAAGGAGCAGGGAGCCCUCCUCCAGGAAGGUGACCAGCAUCAGGAAGGGGCACAGUUGAAGGAGGUGAUCAGAAAAAAACACAAGUGGUGUUUUCUGUGCGUGCCCUGCCUUGUGGCGGUCUUUCCAUAGCCGCUCGCAGUUACUGAGCAUCCUAAGCCCAGCUGCUGAGGCCCCCCCUUCACUCAAAGCCAGUCAUUUCCCCACAUUCGCCUCCCCCAUUCAAGCGCCCCAGCCAAGUCCUUCUGCACAAGAGCUGUUAGAGGUCUGUAUGGUUCCACUGCUGCAAACGUGGGAAGUAGUUCACCGCGAGGCUGAGAGAGGAAGGUUUGCAGAAGACUUUUUUCAACUUUUUCAAAUUUAACUACUGAGUCACAUUCCUGUCAUUCCACUGAAUGUGCCUACCACUCCCUGAGGCUGGCGUGAGUUUAGAAGGCUUCUGGCUGGGAGCACCACACUUCGUUUCUGCCCAGAUGGACAUGUCAACAGGGCCAUGGGGUCAAGGACAACAGGUGGGAAGCAGAUCUCUCUGGCCUUGGCCUUCUCGUCUGCUACCACACCCCCGCUCUGCCCAGAAGAAGCCUGACAAAGGACCCAGGGCUUCCAUUGCACUCGGGUACCGCAUCCCACAUUAGUAAGACCUCAUCCGCCUUCUGCUCCUAUGAUGGCCACAAGCAUUGCAGAAAUUCACACCCUCUCUAAUGCGGCGAAUGUUAGGUCUUAGGAUACAACAGUGAACCAGACCAGGCCUGCCGUCAUGGAGAGGGAAAGAAACAGACCGAGAAGUGAACACAUACAAACAAGCACGAGGCUCAGAAGAGGGUGUCCGAGGGGUAAAAUGGAGAUCCAAGGACUCAUUCCUGGGGCAUGCCAACAUUGCCAGGAAGAACUACUCCUGAAGAGCAGCCAGCAAAGGGGAGAACAAAGGAGUAGCCAGUGAGGUGAAGGAAAGCCUGGAGAGUAUGUAGUCAUGGACUUAAGAGAGGAAAAUGUUUUCUUUCACCUGAGUUGAAAGCUGAUGAGCAAAAAAGCAAAAUGAGAACAAAGUCAUGGCUCCUGGAUUUGGUCACAUGGUGCUCAUCAGUGAACUUGACAAGUGAUGCCUUCGUGGACAGAUUAUGAGAUGGGCAAGUGAAAGCGUGAGUACAGAUGACUCUUGCAAGGAGUUUGGCUGCCAAUGAGGGAGGAAAAAAGUAUGACAUCUGGAAGGGAUAUGGAAUCAGGUAAACCUUACACCCUUGUGGCUGGAUCCAGUGCCUGUGUGAUCCACAGUUGUAGUCCAAGGGGAACAGCCAGACCAUAGAGUUUUUUCUUUGUUCUGGGGUGAACUUUGACCUGGAGCAGCUCUGGGCUAGGAGCCCAUCUUGCCCACUUGGUGCCAGAGCAUGCAGCUUACCGUGAUGUAACUGCCCGCAUCUGCCUCUCCUCAGCAGCCCAGGCGGGCCCAAGGAUGAGCAGAGCAGAACAGAGGACUGAACUUCAUUUGCUGUGGCACUGGCACAGAGGGAAGGACCUGGGCACUGAAAAAAGAGAUAAGGAGUUGGGAGGGCUGCACCGCAGUGGAUUUGAGGCUGGACAGGAAUGAAAGUGAAGGAUGAGGGAUAGUAGAGUACCAGCAGCCAGCAUGGUGGGAAGAAGAGCAUGCGUGCUGGACAGUCGUAAGGCCAUGUUUGUGGAGGAUGUGAAAGAGUAAGGGCAAUGGAAGGGAAGAACCAGGUCACAGAAGUGAUUGACUUGAAGCGGAGGGCAGGAACAGGGUCCCAAAGGACCAGGUCAUCCUGGAAACUGCCCCAGGAUGAUGCUGGUACCUGGACUGGGAGAAGCCCUAUAAGCUGGUCUGUGCCAUCGCAUGUGUCAUGAUAAUGUUUUGAAAUACUAACCUCCGUCUGAGCUGUGUUGUUUCUUAGCUCAUGCUACAAAGAGAAAAUCCCAAACUCCAGCCCAAAGCUCUUUCCAGACCCGUGAAAGAAGCCACGUGAGGGAUGGUCAACAUUCACCGACCAUCAUGGGCAAGAUCUAUCCAUGGCUGACUCUGGGACCUCUAGCUGGGCUGACUCUUGGGAAAAGAGACUUGGCUUGGAUUUGGCUGGACUUAUGUCAUGGAGGUGGCAGGGGGAUGUCUAUAACAGCUCAGGGGGUGGAAAGGAUCUUGGCCAUCCAUUCCCUGGACACUAGAAGGGAGCCCCAAAAUGACAACACGUGAUAAGUAAAAGUGAACGAGUGAUCAGCUAAUGAGUGAUCAAUACUGAAACCCAAUUUCCAAAAAUGCAGCAGCAGAGGUUCGAGGAAAAGAAAAAAAAGAAAGAAAGAAAGCCAGAUUAGGAAGGAUUGAGUCAAAUCAGCGAGUAACCUCUCUAUCGCUUCAGGGGAGGCCUGGCCAUGAGAGCACCUUGACUCAUGGGAAAAACACUGUAAUCAGGAUCAAUAUGAUUUUGCGGGGGAGGGAUUAGAGAAAGACCUAUAAGAUGUUCCUUUGCCUGGACUUUUCUUUCCUCCCACUGCUCAUCCUGUGUUAUCUGGAUUCACACCCACUUUUGCUCUCAUGGCCCUUUCCCAGCGUCCCCUCACCUCCAUCCUCAGAGCAGCCAGCCCACCGCUACCCAGCCUGUCUUCAUCUACCGCCACCUCCUACGCACGUCCCGCUCCCAUUCUUUGAAAAAAGAUCACUUUUUUUUUUCAUUCUAGCUACAAAUGUAAUAUAUGUUCCUUACCAAAAAUUUGGAAAAGUACCAAAAAGAAUCUAAAAACCAUCCUCGGUCUCAAACUCAGAGGCAGUCACCUUCUCUUGACAAAUCAGUUUGUGUCCUUUCUGAUUCCCUUCCAACCACAUCUUUUUUUUUUUUUUUUUUAGUUUGCACCAUGCUUACGUCGCAAUUUAUAAAUUUUGUAAUGGAAUGUAGAUUUUUACAAGAAUAAGAGUGUUAUCUAUUUUGUUCACUGUUGUUCAGUAGCAUGUGGUAACCACAAUAAAUA